rnacentral:rRNA from 1 species
AAGCUGGAGUCGCUAGUAAUCGCAGAUCAGAAUGCUGCGGUGAAUACGUUCCCGGGUCUUGUACACACCGCCCGUCACACCAUGGGAGUUGGAAAUGCCCGAAGUCGGUGACCUAACCGAAAGGGAGGAGCCGCCGAAGGCAGGUCUGAUAACUGGGGUGAAGUCGUAACAAGGUACC